UACAGAGGUCCCAAGCGUUGUUCGGAUUCAUUGGGCGUAAAGGGUGCGUAGGCGGCGCGGUAAGUCGGGUGUGAAAUCUUGGAGCUUAACUCCGAAACUGCAUUCGAUACUGCCGUGCUUGAGGACUGGAGAGGAGACUGGAAUUUACGGUGUAGCGGUGAAAUGCGUAGAUAUCGUAAGGAAGACCAGUGGCGAAGGCGGGUUUCUGGACAGUUCCUGACGCUGAGGCACGAAGGCCAGGGGAGCAAACGGG
rnacentral:rRNA from 1 species